rnacentral:rRNA from 1 species
GAUGAACGCUGGCGGCGUGCUUAACACAUGCAAGUCGAACGAGAAAUGUAGACGGACACCUUCGGGCGGAAGCCUUCAUUUCGAGUGGCGGACGGGUGAGUAACGCGUGGGUAACCUGCCUCAUACAGGGGGAUAACAGUUGGAAACGACUGUUAAUACCGCAUAAGACCACAGCAUCGCAUGAUGCGGGGGUAAAAACUCCGGUGGUAUGAGAUGGACCCGCGUUCGAUUAGCCAGUUGGCGGGGUAACGGCCCACCAAAGCGACGAUCGAUAGCCGAUCUGAGAGGAAGACCGGCCACAUUGGGACUGAGAACCGGCCCAAACUCCUACGGGAGGCAGCAGUGGGGAAUAUUGCACAAUGGGGGAAACCCUGAUGCAGCGACGCCACGUGAGUGAAGAAGUACUUCGGUAUGUAAAGCUCUAUCAGCAGGGAAGAAAAUGACGGUACCUGAGGAAGAAGCCCCGGCUAACUACGUG